GAAAUGCUGAAGAUCUAAUCAGUUUGCCAAUCUUCAACUCUCCUGCACGUGGUCUGAGGUUGGAGCAGAAGAUCUGUACUGCGCAGAGAACACGCUUCAGACAAUGAAAAAUGAAGGAGCAACAAGCUGUUUCUUACAAGAGCAACAGGGACGGUGUAGCAUUUCUUGAAAGAAGAGAAGCAUUGGCAAUGCAAGGGAGAAAGUUUUGUUUUGAGCAGUGGAGAUAGAUGAAUCAGGACAAGGAGAGGAAGGGAAGGCAGAAGAAAAGCAAAGGAGAAUGGAGGGGUCUGAAAUGAAGGCAAUGUGAUUAGAAUUUUGAUGAAGAGGCAUUGACAAGAUGAAAGAUCUUUCUCUCUUUGCUCCCUCUCCCUCUCAUUUCCAGUGGGUAAAAUCUGUCCUGUUGACACACACUUGCUCUCUUUUUACAACACAACUCUGGAACAAAUAGGAUUCAUGAUCAAUGGUAGUGGCAUGGCCCCAGUGACAGAUCCCUGCCUGGGAGGAUGGCUAAGCAGCUGCCUCUCUUCCUCCUUCACU